rnacentral:rRNA from 1 species
UGGGGAAUAUUGCACAAUGGGCGCAAGCCUGAUGCAGCCAUGCCGCGUGUAUGAAGAAGGCCUUCGGGUUGUAUAGUACUUUCAGCGGGGAGGAAGGUGUUGAGGCUAAUAACCUCAGCAAUUGACGUUACCCGCAGAAGAAGCACCGGCUAACUCCGUGCCAGCAGCCGCGGUAAUACGGAGGGUGCAAGCGUUAAUCGGAAUUACUGGGCGUAAAGCGCACGCAGGCGGUCUGUCAAGUCGGAUGUGAAAUCCCCGGGCUCAACCUGGGAACUGCAUUCGAAACUGGCAGGCUAGAGUCUUGUAGAGGGGGGUAGAAUUCCAGGUGUAGCGGUGAAAUGCGUAGAGAUCUGGAGGAAUACCGGUGGCGAAGGCGGCCCCCUGGACAAAGACUGACGCUCAGGUGCGAAAGCGUGGGGAGCAAACA